GAUGAAGAACGUAGCGAAAUGCGAUAAGUAGUGUGAAUUGCAGAAUUCAGUGAAUCAUCGAAUCUUUGAACGCACAUUGCGCCCUUUGGUAUUCCUUAGGGCAUGCCUGUUCGAGCGUCAUUGAAACCUUCAAGCUAAGCUUGGUGUUGGGUGACUGUCCGCUUCACUGCGGACUCGCCUCAAAAUUAUUGGCGGCCGGUACAUUGGCUUCGAGCGCAGCAGAAACGCGAACUCGGGCCCGUCGUAUUGGCUCCCAGAAGCUAUCUUCACAAUUUUGACCUCGGAUCAGGUAGGGAUACCCGCUGAACUUAAGCAUAUCAAUAAGCGGAGGA
rnacentral:misc_RNA from 1 species